rnacentral:rRNA from 1 species
ACGGAGGGUGCGAGCGUUAAUCGGAAUUACUGGGCGUAAAGCGCACGUAGGCGGUUUGUUAAGCAAGAUGUGAAAGCCCAGGGCUCAACCUUGGAAUUGCAUUUUGAACUGGCAAGCUAGAGUUUUGAAGAGGGUGGUAGAAUUUCCAGUGUAGCGGUGAAAUGCGUAGAUAUUGGAAGGAAUACCAGUGGCGAAGGCGGCCACCUGGUCAAAAACUGACGCUGAGGAGCGAAAGCGUGGGGAGCAAACAGG